GAUGAACGCUGGCGGCGUGCCUAAUACAUGCCAGUCGAGCGAACGGACGAGAAGCUUGCUUCUCUGAUGUUAGCGGCGGACGGGUGAGUAACACGUGGAUAACCUACCUAUAAGACUGGGAUAACUUCGGGAAACCGGAGCUAAUACCGGAUAAUAUCUUGAACCGCAUGGUUCAAAAGUGAAAGACGGUCUUGCUGUCACUUAUAGAUGGAUCCGCGCUGCAUUAGCUAGUUGGUAAGGUAACGGCUUACCAAGGCAACGAUGCAUAGCCGACCUGAGAGGGUGAUCGGCCACACUGGAACUGAGACACGGUCCAGACUCCUACGGGAGGCAGCAGUAGGGAAUCUUCCGCAAUGGGCGAAAGCCUGACGGAGCAACGCCGCGUGAGUGAUGAAGGUCUUCGGAUCGUAAAACUCUGUUAUUAGGGAAGAACAUAUGUGUAAGUAACUGUGCACAUCUUGACGGUACCUAAUCAGAAAGCCACGGCUAACUACGUG
rnacentral:rRNA from 1 species